GACGAACGCUGGCGGCGUGCUUAACACAUGCAAGUCGAACGGAAAGGCCCUGCUUUUGUGGGGUGCUCGAUUGGCGAACGGGUGAGUAACACGUGAGUAACCUGCCCUUGACUUUGGGAUAACUUCAGGAAACUGGGGCUAAUACCGGAUAGGAUCUCCUGCUGCAUGGUGGGGGUUGGAAAGUUUCGGCGGUUGUGGAUGGACUCGCGGCUUAUCAGCUUGUUGGUGGGGUAGUGGCUUACCAAGGCUUUGACGGGUAGCCGGCCUGAGAGGGUGACCGGCCACAUUGGGACUGAGAUAAGGCCCAGACUGCUACGGGAGGCAGAAGUGGGGAAUAUUGCACAAUGGGCGGAAGCCUGAUGAAGCAACGCCGCGUGCGGGAUGACGGCCUUCGGGUUGUAAACCGCUUUCGCCUGUGACGAAGCGUGAGUGACGGUAAUGGGUAAAGAAGCACCGGCUAACUACGUG
rnacentral:rRNA from 1 species